rnacentral:rRNA from 1 species
GUCCCGUAACGAGCGCAACCCCUAUCCUUAGUUGCCAGCGAGUAAUGUCGGGGACUCUAAGGAGACUGCCGGUGACAAACCGGAGGAAGGCGGGGAUGACGUCAAGUCAUCAUGGCCCUUACGAGUAGGGCUACACACGUGCUACAAUGGGGCGUACAGAGGGUUGCGAAGCAGCGAUGUGGAGCUAAUCUCAGAAAGCGUCUCGUAGUCCGGAUUGGAGUCUGCAACUCGACUCCAUGAAGUCGGAAUCGCUAGUAAUCGUGAAUCAGAAUGUCACGGUCGAAUACGUUCCCGGGCCUU